rnacentral:rRNA from 1 species
AUUGAACGCUGGCGGAAUGCUUUACACAUGCAAGUCGAGCGGCAGCACGGGGGCAACCCUGGUGGCGAGCGGCGAACGGGUGAGUAAUACAUCGGAACAUGCCCAGUCGUGGGGGAUAACACUUCGAAAGAAGUGCUAAUACCGCAUACGUCCUGAGGGGGAAAGCGGGGGAUCGCAAGACCUCGCGCGAUUGGAGUGGCCGAUGUCAGAUUAGCUAGUUGGUGGGGUAAAGGCCUACCAAGGCAACGAUCUGUAGCUGGUCUGAGAGGAUGAUCAGCCACACUGGGACUGAGACACGGCCCAGACUCCUACGGGAGGCAGCAGUGGGGAAUUUUGGACAAUGGGGGCAACCCUGAUCCAGCCAUUCCGCGUGAGUGGAGAAGGCCUGCGGGUUGUAAAGCUCUUUCGGCAGGAACGAAACGGUGAGCUCUAACAUAGCUUGCUAAUGACGGUACCUGAAGAAGAAGCACCGGCUAACUACGU